CUUUGAGCGCUCUAGUGGCUGCAGCUAACGCGAUAAGUCACACCGCCUGGGGAGUACGGUCGCAAGACUAGAACUCAAAUGAAUUGACGGGGGCCCGCACAAGCGGUGGAGCAUGUGGUUUAAUUCGAUGCAACGCGAAGAACCUUACCUGGCCUUGACAUACAGAGAACUUUCCAGAGAUGGAUUGGUGCCUUCGGGAACUCUGAUACAGGUGCUGCAUGGCUUGUCGUCAGCUCGUGUCGUGAGAUGUUGGGUUAAGUCCCGCAACGAGCGCAACCCUUUUCCUUACUUGCCAGCAUUUCGGAUGGGCAACUUUAAGGAUACUGCCAGUGACAAACUGGAGGAAGGGGGGGACGACGUCAAGUCAUCAUGCGCCCUUACGAGCCGGGGCUACACAACGUGCUACAAUGGUCGGUACAAAAGGGUUGCUACCCAGCGAUGUGAUGCUAAUCUCCAAAAGCCGUAUCUCUAGUCCGGAUUGAAGUCUGCCACCUCAACUCCAUGAAGUCGGAAUCGCUAGUAAUCGCGGGAUCAGCAAUGCCGCGGUGAAUACGUUCCGGGCCUUGUACACACCGCCCGUCACACCACUGAGAGUUUGUUUGUACCAGAAGUCAGGUGAGGCUAACCCUUACAGGAGGCGCGCUCUACCACAGGUGUGACAGAUGACUGGGGUGAAGUCGUAACAAGGUAGCCGUAUGGGAACCUGCGGCUGGAUCACCUC
rnacentral:rRNA from 1 species